rnacentral:rRNA from 1 species
GACGAACGCUGGCGGCGUGCCUAAUACAUGCAAGUUGAGCGAUGAAGAUUGGUGCUUGCCCCAAUUUGAAGAGCAGCGAGCGGGUGAGUAACGCGUGGGGAAUCUGCCUUUGAGCGGGGGACAACAUUUGGAAACGAAUGCUAAUACCGCAUAACAACUUUAAACAUAAGUUUUAAGUUUGAAAGAUGCAAUUGCAUCACUCAAAGAUGAUCCCGCGUUGUAUUAGCUAGUUGGUGAGGUAAAGGCUCACCAAGGCGAUGAUACAUAGCCGACCUGAGAGGGUGAUCGGCCACAUUGGGACGGAGACACGGCCCAAACUCCUACGGGAGGCAGCAGUAGGGAAUCUUCGGCAAUGGACGAAAGUCUGACCGAGCAACGCCGCGUGAGUGAAGAAGGUUGUCGGAUCGUAAAACUCUGUUGGUAGAGAAGAACGUUGGUGAGAGUGGAAAGCUCAUCAAGUGACGGUAACUACCCAGAAAGGGACGGCUAACUACGUG